rnacentral:rRNA from 1 species
UGCGUAGGCGGGGCAAUUAGUCAGUGGUGAAAUCCUGCGGCUUAACCGUAGAAUUGCCAUUGAUACUGUCGUCCUUGAGUAUAGUUGAAGUGGGCGGAAUAUGUAAUGUAGCGGUGAAAUGCAUAGAGAUUACAUAGAACACCAAUUGCGAAGGCAGCUCACUAAGCUAUCACUGACGCUGAGGCACGAAAGCGUGGGGAGCGAACAGGAUUAGAUACCCUGGUAGUCC